CAGUCGCCGCGGGAAUACGUAGGUGGCAAACGUUGUCCGGAAUUAUUGGGCGUAAAGGGCUCGCAGGCGGUUUCUUAAGUCUGAUGUGAAAGCCCCCGGCUCAACCGGGGAGGGUCAUUGGAAACUGGGAAACUUGAGUGCAGAAGAGGAGAGUGGAAUUCCACGUGUAGCGGUGAAAUGCGUAGAGAUCGGAAAGAACACCAACGGCGAAAGCACUCUGCUGGGCCGACACUGACACUGAGAGACGAAAGCUAGGGGAGCAAAUGGGAUUAGAUACCCCUGUAGUCCCUGUCUCUUAUAC
rnacentral:rRNA from 1 species